UACGUAGGGUGCGAGCGUUGUCCGGAAUUAUUGGGCGUAAAGAGCUCGUAGGCGGUGUGUCACGUCGGCCGUGAAAACCUGCAGCUUAACUGUGGGCGUGCGGUCGAUACGGGCAUCACUGGAGUUCGGCAGGGGAGACUGGAAUUCCUGGUGUAGCGGUGAAAUGCGCAGAUAUCAGGAGGAAUACCGGUGGCGAAGGCGGCAUCCUGGACCGACAUUGACGCUGAACGGCGAAAGCUAGGGGAGCAAACGGG
rnacentral:rRNA from 1 species